GGCGUCAUGGUCUAGAGGUAUGAUUCUUGCUUUGGGAUACCUCAAACUUGCAAGAGGUCCCGGGUUCAAUCCCCGGUGACGCCC